UGCAGCGUUAAUCGGAUUACUGGGCGUAAAGCGUGCGCAGGCGGUUGUGUAAGACAGGUGUGAAAUCCCCGGGCUUAACCUGGGAAUUGCAUUUGUGACUGCACGACUAGAGUGUGUCAGAGGGGGGUGGAAUUCCACGUGUAGCAGUGAAAUGCGUAGAUAUGUGGAGGAACACCAAUGGCGAAGGCAGCCCCCUGGGAUAACACUGACGCUCAUGCACGAAAGCGUGGGGAGCAAACAGGAUUAGAUACCCUGGUAGUCCACGCCCUAAACGAUGUCAACUAGUUGUUGGGGAUUUACUUCCUUGGUAACGUAGCUAACGCGUGAAGUUGACCGCCUGGGGAGUACGGCCGCAAGGUUAAAACUCA
rnacentral:rRNA from 1 species